UACGGGGGGGGCAAGCGUUGUUCGGAAUUACUGGGCGUAAAGGGCUCGUAGGUGGCCAACUAAGUCGGACGUGAAAUCCCUCGGCUUAACCGGGGAACUGCAUCCGAUACUGGAUGGCUUGAGUUCGGGAGAGGGAUGCGGAAUUCCAGGUGUAGCGGUGAAAUGCGUAGAUAUCUGGAGGAACACCGAUGGCGAAGGCAAUCCCCUGGGCCUGCACUGACGCUCAUGCACGAAAGCGUGGGGAGCAAACAGG
rnacentral:rRNA from 1 species